GCUGGGUAGCUAUGUGUGGACGGGAUAAGUGCUGAAAGCAUCUAAGCAUGAAGCCCCCCUCAAGAUGAGAUUUCCCAACUUCGGUUAUAAGAUCCCUCAAAGAUGAUGAGGUUARKWGGAAGCAUGGUGACAUGUGGAGCUGACGAAUACUAAUCGAUCGAAGACUUAAUCAAAA
rnacentral:rRNA from 1 species